CCAGGGAAACUACAGCUGUGUUUAUUUCUCUGCUUUUUCUCAGGACUUCUCCUCUGAGAGCCGUGUGCUCUCCGUCACCGUCACAGAUCCAGGACCUUUUAUCAUCCGAGCCGUCGUCCUGCCGCUGACUCUGCUGCUGGUGCUGCUGGUGACCGUCGGACUUCACUUCUACUGUAAGGCCACCAGGGGGCGGAGGCCGAGCCGACAGGAGGACAUUGAGCUGGAUUACCUGGGUGUUCCUGCUGAAGAGGAAGGAGCUCAGGGAGCAGAGUAGCAGCUCCAAGGAGCUCCUCUCGCACACAUGGGUUUAUCAGCUCUUAUAGCUUUUAACCAACGUUAGAAAAUAUAGCUUUCACUCUGAAAGUCACCAGCAAUGUGUUAGUGCCUCAUGUUUCCUGACUUCCUGUCAGCUCCAAGCCAAUUGGUUCCCACUGAAGAUGAAGAUCUUUAAAAAACAUCACAAGUUAGUUUUAUUUUUAAAAGUCAAUGCAGUCGGUGCAGUUUGAAACCAGACACACCAACCCAGGCCGCUCAGGAACUAAGUUGGCCAAUGAAUGCCAUAUAUUAAUGUUCAAAUAUCCUCUAAAAACAGUGUUACAAUACCCAGUGUUUGAAUCUAAUGUAGUGAUUCCUGAGAUAACAGGAGGAACGCGUUACAGCGCCACCUAGUGUUAGAUUUGUAGACCUCGAGCACAACAAGGGUUUUUGUUAUUCAAUCAACAAAUAAGACAAAGUACAGUUUUUAAAAUGUUACGUUUUUCACAACAAUUCAUCUG